rnacentral:rRNA from 1 species
UGGCGGCAGGCCUAACACAUGCAAGUCGAACGCACCGCAAGGUGAGUGGCAGACGGGUGAGGAACACGUGGGAACAUGCCCUUUGGUUCGGAAUAACUCAGGGAAACUUGAGCUAAUACCGGAUAAGCCCUUUUGGGGAAAGAUUUAUCGCCGAAGGAUUGGCCCGCGUCCGAUUAGCUAGUUGGUGUGGUAAUGGCGCACCAAGGCGACGAUCGGUAGCUGGUCUGAGAGGAUGAUCAGCCACAUUGGGACUGAGACACGGCCCAAACUCCUACGGGAGGCAGCAGUGGGGAAUAUUGGACAAUGGGCGCAAGCCUGAUCCCAGCCAUGCCGCGUGAGUGAUGACGGCCCUAGGGUUGUAAAGCUCUUUCACCCACGACGAUAAUGACGGUAGUGGGAGAAGAAGCCCCGGCUAACUUCGUGCCAGCCGCCGC